rnacentral:lncRNA from 10 species
CAAUAGGACAGAAGAGCUCCUUGGCACUGGAUGCCUCCGGGUCUGGUUGAGAGAGGAAUGGUUAGGAGACUGUUCUGAGGAUACGCAGACAUCAUCCAAAGCUUCCUACAUUCAGAUGAGGACAGAGGUUGGGCCAGAGCUUUGUAAGCUUGUUACCUAAGGAUGGUUCUGACCAUGUAAGCAGAUCACAGAAGCUAUUCACAGAUCAUCAUCAGCCAGAGGUGACUUCUGUUGCUUGCAGCUCAGAAUCCUAGAUGUUUCCGGUGGCACUGAAGAGCCUCUGCUGAAGCUCUAUACCAUUUGCCAUUUACAAAGGGAAAUGAAAUAAUAACGCUGACCAUUUGUGGAGCACAUUCUGUGUAACUGCACUGAGAGGUGCCAUGUCAGACUGAUGAAUACGAAAGAUGGUGCCUCACCCAGAUAUCCUGGACAUUGAUCUGGAGCUGGAGGCAAAGGAUGCCAAGAUGGGAAAGCCACAUAAUGGAAGGAUCCUGGAUUUCAGAGCUGUCACUUGGAGGAGGGGCACCCAGUGAAGGUGUCUUAUCUAACCCACACCAUAUCUUCAUGAAGUGGCCAUAUGGAUUUGAUCCCUAUCCUUCAGAGGUGCUCAGCCUAAGGGAACACGGAUAGUAGAUUAAGCACUGACCAGGGGUAUAAAUCCUGCCUUCUCUCAGCCUUACAGAGGAAGAAAACCCUUUCCAAGUUUCCUCUGAUACUGGGUUUAUGCCCAAUUAUAGUUUAGGCAUGAAGAAACUGAAGCAUGGAGGAAAAACUUAGCAACUAGCCCAACGUCACACAGGCAAGCCAGCCUUGACAAUGUGCUG